rnacentral:rRNA from 1 species
GAUGAAGCCUGGCUUGCUGGGUGGAUUAGUGGCGAACGGGUGAGUAACACGUGAGUAACCUGCCCUUGACUCUGGGAUAAGCGCUGGAAACGGCGUCUAAUACCGGAUAUGACCUGCCCCGGCAUCGGGUGUGGGUGGAAAGUUUUUCGGUCAAGGAUGGACUCGCGGCCUAUCAGCUUGUUGGUGAGGUAAUGGCUCACCAAGGCGACGACGGGUAGCCGGCCUGAGAGGGUGACCGGCCACACUGGGACUGAGACACGGCCCAGACUCCUACGGGAGGCAGCAGUGGGGAAUAUUGCACAAUGGGCGAAAGCCUGAUGCAGCAACGCCGCGUGGGGGAUGACGGCCUUCGGGUUGUAAACCUCUUUUAGUAGGGAAGAAGGGCUUCGGCUUGACGGUACCUGCAGAAAAAGCACCGGCUAACUACGUGCCAGCAGCCGCGGUAAUACGUAGGGUGCAAGCGUUGUCCGGAAUUAUUGGGCGUAAAGAGCUCGUAGGCGGUUUGUCGCGUCUGCUGUGAAAACCCGAGGCUCAACCUCGGGCCUGCAGUGGGUACGGGCAGACUAGAGUGCGGUAGGGGAGAAUGGAAUUCCUGGUGUAGCGGUGGAAUGCGCAGAUAUCAGGAGGAACACCGAUGGCGAAGGCAGUUCUCUGGGCCGUUACUGACGCUGAGGAGCGAAAGCGUGGGGAGCGAACAGGAUUAGAUACCCUGGUAGUCCACGCCGUAAACGUUGGGAACUAGAUGUGGGGGCCUUUCCACGGUCUCCGUGUCGCAGCUAACGCAUUAAGUUCCCCGCCUGGGGAGUACGGCCGCAAGGCUAAAACUCAAAGGAAUUGACGGGGGCCCGCACAAGCGGCGGAGCAUGCGGAUUAAUUCGAUGCAACGCGAAGAACCUUACCAAGGCUUGACAUAUACCGGAAACUUCCAGAAAUGGUUGCCCCGCAAGGUCGGUAUACAGGUGGUGCAUGGUUGUCGUCAGCUCGUGUCGUGAGAUGUUGGGUUAAGUCCCGCAACGAGCGCAACCCUCGUUCUAUGUUGCCAGCACGUGAUGGUGGGAACUCAUAGGAGACUGCCGGGGUCAACUCGGAGGAAGGUGGGGAUGACGUCAAAUCAUCAUGCCCCUUAUGUCUUGGGCUUCACGCAUGCUACAAUGGCCGGUACAAAGGGCUGCGAUACCGUAAGGUGGAGCGAAUCCCAAAAAGCCGGUCUCAGUUCGGAUUGAGGUCUGCAACUCGACCUCAUGAAGUCGGAGUCGCUAGUAAUCGCAGAUCAGCAACGCUGCGGUGAAUACGUUCCCGGGCCUUGUACACACCGCCCGUCAAGUCAUGAAAGUCGGUAACACCCGAAGCCAGUGGCCUAACCGUAAGGAGGGAGCUGUCGAAGGUGGGAUCGGUGAUUAG